rnacentral:lncRNA from 1 species
UUUAACUUUAUUCCCUCUUGCCGUUGUCUCUUACUUUCUCCGUCUCUUUUCCGAACUGGUUGCUACUGGUGAAGUCACAAGGCAAGCAUAUAUUUUGGACAGCAGCUUGACCACAUUUUAAAUUUUCUUGAACCUUCCAGUGACUCAUUUGUUUUAAAUUUUUACUGUAGUAGUAUAAGAAAGAAGGAAGAAAAAGUUAUUAAUAUCGAACUAUGAUGCCCAUCAAGAAUAAGUUCGAUUGGGACUGAGGCGAUUGACUUAAUUUGAGUAGUUUUUAGUGACAAUAUCUAUCUUAACCAAGAAUCACCUCAUGACGUGUAUGACAGCACGUCAGUAUUCAUUGUGUAAACGAGCAAUAAAUGGAUAGAUCGCUCGUCUGGAAUAUUCAAACGAAGAAUAAUUGAUGCCAUGUAUCUAGGAUUGCACUUUUCAAUGUGACAUUCCUUUUCAGACAACAGGAUGAAAGCUCAGAGAAAACAUGAUUGCUAUUUGUGGCCUGUCAAGUAAAUAUGUAGAGUCUCAUU